rnacentral:rRNA from 1 species
CCAAUAGCGUAUAUUAAAGUUGUUGCAGUUAAAAAGCUCGUAGUUGAAUUUCGGGAUCAACAUGUCGGUCGUGCCUCCGAUACGUACUGGCAUCGUUGAUUUCUACCUUCUGACGAACCAUGAUGUCAUUAAUUUGGUGUCAUGGGGAAUCAGGACUGUUACUUUGAAAAAAUUAGAGUGUUUAAAGCAGGCACACGCUUGAAUACGUUAGCAUGGAAUAAUGAAAUAGGACGUUUGACCCUAUUUUGUUGGUUUCUAGGAUCGACGUAAUGAUUAAUUGGGAUAGUCGGGGGCAUUAGUAUUCAAUUGUCAGAGGUGAAAUUCUUGGAUUUAUUGAAGACUAACUACUGCGAAAGCAUUUGCCAAGGAUGUUUUCAUUAGUCAAGAACGAAAGUUAGGGGAUCGAAGACGAUCAGAUACCGUCGUAGUCUUAACCAUAAACUAUGCCGACUAGGGAUCGGAUGAUGUUAAUUUUUUAAUGACUCAUUCGGCGCCUUACG